GAUGAACGCUGGCGGCAGGCCUAACACAUGCAAGUCGUGCGAGCUGCGGACGGGUUAGUAAUGUAUGGGGACUGCCCGAUAGAGGGGGAUAACUACUGGCAACGGUGGCUAAUACCGCAUACUAUCGGAUAACCCAUAUGGGAUUAGCUAGUAGGUGGGGUAAAGGCUCACCUAGGCGACGAUCUCUAGCUGGUCUGAGAGGAUGAUCAGCCACCAUAGUAGUAAGACACGGCCCAGACUCCUACGGAGGCAGCAGUGGGGAAGAUUGCACAAUGGGGGCAAGCCUGAUGAAGCCAUGACGCGUGUAUGAAGAAGGCGUUAGUGUUGUAAAGGACUUUCAGAGGGGAGGCGUUAAACGCAGAAGAAGCACCGGCAAACUCCGUGCCAGACGCCGAGGUAAUAC
rnacentral:rRNA from 1 species